rnacentral:rRNA from 1 species
GACGAACGCUGGCGGCAUGCCUAAUACAUGCAAGUAGAACGCACAGUUUAUACCGUAGCUUGCUACACCAUAGACUGUGAGUUGCGAACGGGUGAGUAACGCGUAGGUAACCUGCCUGGUAGCGGGGGAUAACUAUUGGAAACGAUAGCUAAUACCGCAUAAUAUUGAUUAUUGCAUGAUAACUAAUUGAAAGGUGCAAUUGCACCACUACCAGAUGGACCUGCGUUGUAUUAGCUAGUAGGUGAGGUAACGGCUCACCUAGGCGACGAUACAUAGCCGACCUGAGAGGGUGAUCGGCCACACUGGGACUGAGACACGGCCCAGACUCCUACGGGAGGCAGCAGUAGGGAAUCUUCGGCAAUGGACGAAAGUCUGACCGAGCAACGCCGCGGGAGUGAAGAAGGUUUUCGGAUCGUAAAGCUCUGUUGUAAGAGAAGAACGGGUGUGAGAGUGGAAAGUUCACACUGUGACGGUAGCUUACCAGAAAGGGACGGCUAACUACGUG